rnacentral:rRNA from 1 species
GCUAUUUAGGUUAGAGUUUGAUCCUGGCUCAGAGCGAACGCUGGCGGCAGGCUUAACACAUGCAAGUCGAGCGCCCCGCAAGGGGAGCGGCAGACGGGAGAGUAACACGUGGGAACGUACCUUUCAGUUCGGAACAACCAAGGGAAACUUUGGCUAAUACCGGAUACGCCCGUAAGGGGAAAGAUUUAUCGCUGAAAGAUCGGCCCGCGUCUGAUUAGCUAGUUGGUGGGGUAAUGGCCCACCAAGGCGACGAUCAGUAGCUGGUCUGAGAGGAUGAUCAGCCUCACUGGGACUGAGACACGGCCCAGACUCCUACGGGAGGCAGCAGUGGGGAAUAUUGGACAAUGGGCGCAAGCCUGAUCCAGCCAUGCCGCGUGGAUGAUGAAGGCCUUAGGGUUGUAAAGUCCUUUUAACGGGGAAGAUAAUGACGGUACCCGUAGAAUAAGCCCCGGCUAACUUCGUGCCAGCAGCCGCGGUAAUG